AUUAAUUUAAUAAAUUUUUUUUUUUGAAUAAUUUAAAUUAAUAUUAUUUAAAGUUUUAAAAUAAAUUAAGGUUUAAUUAAUAAUUUUGAAAUAAUUUAUAAAUUUAUAAUGAAAGUAAUGUGAAUGAAUUUUUAAAAAUAUAAAUAAGUAGAAUUUAAUUUUGUACCUUUUGUAUCAGGGUUGAUUAAAAAUAAUUUAAAAAUUUAAUUAUCUCGAAAAUAGGAGAGCUAAAUUUAUAUUAUUGUUUUUGUAGAAAUAAAAUUAUAAAUAUAAAUUUAGAAAUUAUAUGUUAGACGAACUUAUUGAUAUCUAGUUUUUUUAGAAAUAAAUUUAAUUUAGAUAUAAUUUUUUUUAAUAAAUUAAAUUUUAAUUUAAUUUAUUAAAUUUUAUAUUAAAAAUUUAUGGGAUAAACUAUAAAUUUAAUAAUAAAAAUUUAUUUUUUAAUUUUAAUAUUAUGAAUAUAAUAUUGUUUUUUAAUUUAAAAAAUUUAAUAAUUUAGUUUUUAAUUAAUUAUAAAGAUUUAAAGAAUUAAAAUUUUAUUUUUGUUAUAAAAAUAUAUAUUAUAAUUUUUAAAAUAUAGAAAUAAUGAUUAAAUUAGUAAUAAAUUUUAUAUUUUGAAUUUUUAUUUAUAAAAUAUAUAAUUUAAAGGAACUCGGCAAAUAUAUUAUUCACCUGUUUAUCAAAAACAUGUCUUAUUGAUUAUAAUUUUAAGUCGAUCUGCUCCAUGAAUAAAAUUAUUUAAAUAGCUGCAGUAUAUUGACUGUACAAAGGUAGCAUAAUAAAUUGUCUUUUAAUUGAAGAAUUGAAUGAACGAAUUAAUGAAAUAAUUACUGUCUCUAAAUUAUUUAAUGAAUUUAAAUUUUUAGUUAAAAUUCUAAAAUUUAAUUAUGGGACGAUAAGACCCUAUAGAAUUUUAUUUAAUUUAUUAUUUAAUUUAAAUUAUUUAUAAAUAAAUAAUAAUUUAAAUUUGAUUGGGAGGAUUAAUAAAUUUAAUAAACUUUAUUUUUAAAUUUAAUUUUGAUUUAAAGAUAUAAAAUGAUUUAUAAUUUGUAAAUAUAAGAAUAAAUUACCUUAGGGAUAACAGCGUAAUAUCUUUUGAUAGGUCAUAUUGAUAAAGAUGAUUGCGACCUCGAUGUUGAAUUAAGAUAAAAAUUAAAUGCAGGAGUUUAAUAAUUUAAGUCUGUUCGACUUUUAAAAUCUUACAUGAUUUGAGUUCAAAUCGACGUAAGUCAGAUUGGUUUCUAUCUAUAAUAAAUUAUAAAUUAAUUGUACGAAAGGACUUUAAUUUUUAAAUAAUUUAUAGUUUAUAUUAUAUAAUAAAUAAAUU